AUUGAACGCUGGCGGCAUGCUUUACACAUGCAAGUCGAACGGUAACAGGGUGCUUGCACCGCUGACGAGUGGCGACCGGUUGAGUAAUGCGUCGGAACGUGCCGAGUAGUGGGGGAUAACGCAUCGAAAGGUGUGCUAAUACCGCAUACGUACUGAGGUAGAAAGUGGGGGAGCUUCGGGCCUCACGCUAUUCGAGCGGCCGACGUCUGAUUGGCUAGUUGGUGAGGUAAAGGCUCACUAAGGCGACGAUCAGUAGCGGGUCUGCGAGGAUGAUCAGCCACACUGGGACUGAGACACGGCCCAGACUCCUACGGGAGGCAGCAGUGGGGAAUUUUGGACAAUGGGCGCAAGCCUGAUCCAGCCAUGCCGCGUGUCUGAAGAAGGCCUUCGGGUUGUAAAGGACUUUUGUCCGGGAGCAAAUACCCAGUGCUAAUAACGCUGGGGGCUGAGAGUACCGGAAGAAUAAGCACCGGCUAACUACGUGCCAGCCGCCGCAGUAAUAC
rnacentral:rRNA from 1 species